rnacentral:rRNA from 1 species
UACGAAGGGGGCUAGCGUUGUUCGGAUUUACUGGGCGUAAAGCGCACGUAGGCGGGUUGUUAAGUCAGGGGUGAAAUCCUGGAGCUCAACUCCAGAACUGCCUUUGAUACUGGCAACCUAGAGGCUGGAGGAGGUUAGUGGAAUUCCCAGUGUAGAGGUGAAAUUCGUAGAUAUUGGGAAGAACACCAGUGGCGAAGGCGGCUAACUGGUCCAGAUCUGACGCUGAGGUGCGAAAGCGUGGGGAGCAAACAGG